rnacentral:rRNA from 1 species
GACGAACGCUGGCGGCGCGCCUAACACAUGCAAGUCGAACGAGCAAAGAGGAGCUUGCUUCUCUGAGCGAGUGGCGAACGGGUGAGUAACGCGUGAGGAACCUGCCUCAAAGAGGGGGACAACAGUUGGAAACGACUGCUAAUACCGCAUAAGCCCACGGGUCGGCAUCGACCAGAGGGAAAAGGAGCAAUCCGCUGAAAGAUGGCCUCGCGUCUGAUUAGCUGGUUGGUGAGGUAACGGCCCACCAAGGCGACGAUCAGUAGCCGGACUGAGAGGUUGACCGGCCACAUUGGGACUGAGAUACGGCCCAGACUCCUACGGGAGGCAGCAGUGGGGAAUAUUGGGCAAUGGGCGCAAGCCUGACCCAGCAACGCCGCGUGAAGGAAGAAGGCUUUCGGGUUGUAAACUUCUUUUAAGAGGGAAGAGCAGAAGACUGUACCUCUAGAAUAAGCCACGGCUAACUACGUG